GGGCGCGCAGGGCUCGGUCCGGACUGCGCGUUCCUGAGGGACCCGGGCGCGCGGCCUGUCCUGUCCUGUCCUGUCCUGUCCUGUCCUGUCCUGUCCUGUCCUGUCCUGUCCUGCCCACAGACUUGUUCGGAGAGGCGGCAGGGGUGGACGGGAAAAAGGACUUGCGAAGAAGCUGAGCGACGUCCCCGGCUGGGGGUCCGCAGAGAGGAGUUGGUGGAGACCAAAAGCCUCCCUUGAGCCGUCCUUACGUCAGUUUUGGAUUGACUAUCACGGAAUUACCGCGAUUUGAGAUCACCCAGUCCGACUGUCCACCUGGCACUGCCACUGCAACCCUGAGCCACAUCUCCCAGCGCCACAUCCAGACUCUUCCUGAGCACCUCCAGGGAUCGUGACUCCAUUACCUCCCUGGACAGCUAUCCAGUACCUGUCCACCCUACUAAUAGUGGAAAAUUUUUUUCUGUUGUCUAAUCUGAAUCUCCUCUGUGUCACUUUAAGGCCACUUCCUCUAGUCCUCUCACUAUGUUACACUCAUUUGGUGACCUAUAAAUAUGUACCACUUGUACGGCCACAGGGUCGUACCCUGUAAGUCACAGUUAUGAGUCUCAAAACUGGAUAUAAUUAUUGUUUAUUCUAAAAAUACAUAUUCUGGUUGCCUAGUGCUUGAACUUCUGUCAGUAUUCCUCAAGUCCUCAAGUUCAUGCAAACCCUUUUCCAGGCUAUCCUGAUCUUUCUCCUAGUUGCUACUCCCAGCCACACCAUCAAGAAAUGUCACUGGUACUGUCCAUAAUUUAAUACAUGGAUGGACCUGUUACACUUCAGAUAUUUGUGAUGCUUGAUCUUUCAGGAGCUUCUUUCCAUGAGGGAGCAUUUCCUCUGUGACAUCUCUUAGACAACUUCUUACCCAUGCUGCAGCAUCUUAUCAACCCCUGUAUCAGCUUUCUGUGAAAUUAUGUGUCAAACACAGACUGAGGUCUAGUCAUGCUGAAUCUUCUGCCUUCCCCUUAUUCAGGAACCUUCCUCUACUCACAGAGAGUUCUGUGUUUGUUUCACAAAAUAUACCUUUGGUAAAGUCCUGUUGCAUUUUA